rnacentral:ncRNA from 1 species
AAAAAAGCAGGGAACAGGACGAGUAGCUGUCCGCACGGCGACAGGGAAUGGGAGGCACCGACUGAGACCUCCCAUCACCGGAAGCAGCGAAAACCACCUGCGAGCUGGCUCCGGAACGACCAGGUCAAGUAUGGAGCCCCGGCAGCCCCGUUAUCGGCAAGCGCAAGCGUGACAAAGCACCCAUUCUUGUCACGAAAAUUGGGUGGAACCGCGUGAGAACCAGCCUCUCGCCCCAGUG